rnacentral:rRNA from 1 species
AUUCAACCUGAGAGUUUGAUCCUGGCUCAGAACGAACGCUGGCGGCAUGCCUAACACAUGCAAGUCGAACGAGAAGCUAUCUUCGGAUAGUGGAAAGUGGCGCACGGGUGAGUAACGCGUGGGAACCUGCCCUGAGGUUCGGAAUAACGAUUGGAAACGAUCGCUAAUACCGGAUGAGCCCUGAGGGGGAAAGAUUUAUCGCCUUGGGAGGGGCCCGCGUCCGAUUAGCUUGUUGGUGUGGUAACGGCGCACCAAGGCUUCGAUCGGUAGCUGGUCUGAGAGGAUGAUCAGCCACACUGGGACUGAGACACGGCCCAGACUCCUACGGGAGGCAGCAGUGGGGAAUAUUGGACAAUGGGGGCAACCCUGAUCCAGCAAUGCCGCGUGUGUGAAGAAGG